rnacentral:rRNA from 1 species
AGCGAACGCUGGCGGCAUGCUUAACACAUGCAAGUCGCACGGUCGGGGGUAACUUCGGCAGUGGCGGACGGGUGAGUAACGCGUAGGAAUCUAUCCACGGGUGGGGGAUAACGGCGGGAAACUGCUGCUAAUACCGCAUGACACCUGAGGGUCAAAGGCGCGAGUCGCCUGUGGAGGAGCCUGCGUCCGAUUAGCUUGUUGGUGGGGUAAUGGCCUACCAAGGCGACGAUCGGUAGCUGGUCUGAGAGGAUGAUCAGCCACACUGGGACUGAGACAC